rnacentral:rRNA from 1 species
UACGAAGGGGGCUAGCGUUGCUCGGAAUCACUGGGCGUAAAGCGCACGUAGGCGGAUCUUUAAGUCAGAGGUGAAAUCCCAAGGCUCAACCUUGGAACUGCCUUUGAUACUGGGGAUCUCGAGUCCGGAAGAGGUUGGUGGAACUGCGAGUGUAGAGGUGAAAUUCGUAGAUAUUCGCAAGAACACCAGUGGCGAAGGCGGCCAACUGGUCCGGCACUGACGCUGAGGUGCGAAAGCGUGGGGAGCAAACAGG